AUCGUAGGAAGGCAGCCCCGGAGCCUUGCUCCAUGCCUGGGAAGUGACCUGCAGGGAGGAGAGUUGGGUCCCUAGUAAACUCCCUCUAGCUCUUGCUUCCCAUCCUGAAAGAGGUGUUUGUAGCUUUGCAAAGGAAUAUGGUCAACGCUGCUGGACAUAGGCUUUGUUUUCCCCAAAGAGGUACCAGAUGGCCGAAGAUUCACUGCAGAGAAGCCAGGCACAGAAAAACAAGGCCGCCUUCUUUGACUGACGUCUAGAGAAGAAAAAUAAACAUGCAGGAUUAGAGGCCAAGACCUGUGGAAGAAAAGACUACCACGGAGGUGAGAGAAUUGUCUUCUGCUCAAUAGCUCGAGAGGAGUCAACAGGAGUUGUCCGAGAGAAACUUUUUCCCUGUGAGGCGAGGAAAGGUCACUUUCUGCUCCUUGCACAGUUGGCAUCAUUGUAGAAAGCUUCUUUGGGGGCUCAUCAGAAAAACAG